GUGCCAGCAGCCGCGGUAAUACGGAGGGGGUUAGCGUUGUUCGGAAUUACUGGGCGUAAAGCGCACGUAGGCGGAUCAGAAAGUUGGGGGUGAAAUCCCAGGGCUCAACCCUGGAACGGCCUCCAAAACUCCUGGUCUUGAGUUCGAGAGAGGUGAGUGGAAUUCCGAGUGUAGAGGUGAAAUUCGUAGAUAUUCGGAGGAACACCAGUGGCGAAGGCGGCUCACUGGCUCGAUACUGACGCUGAGGUGCGAAAGUGUGGGGAGCAAACAGGAUUAGAAACCCCAGUAGUCC
rnacentral:rRNA from 1 species